AGAGGGUGCAAGCGUUGUUCGGAAUUACUGGGCGUAAAGAGCGUGUAGGCGGUUUGGUAAGUCGGAUGUGAAAUCCCUCGGCUCAACCGAGGAACUGCAUCCGAUACUGUCAGACUUGAGUGUCGGAGGGGAUGGCGGAAUUCCCGGUGUAGAGGUGAAAUUCGUAGAUAUCGGGAGGAACACCCGUGGCGAAGGCGGCCAUCUGGAAGACAACUGACGCUGAGACGCGAAAGCGUGGGGAGCAAACAGGGAUUAGAUACCCUGGUAGUCCACGCCGUAAACGAUGAGUGCUAGGUGUUGCGGGUUUUGACCCCCCCCGCAGUGCCAAAGCUAACGCAUUAAGCACUCCGCCUGGGGAUACGGUCGCAAGAUUA
rnacentral:rRNA from 1 species